rnacentral:rRNA from 1 species
UACGAAGGGGGCUAGCGUUGCUCGGAAUCACUGGGCGUAAAGGGUGCGUAGGCGGGUCUUUAAGUCAGGGGGGAAAUCCUGGAGCUCAACUCCAGAACUGCCCUUGAUACUGAGGAUCUUGAGUCCGGGAGAGGUGAGUGGAACUGCGAGUGUAGAGGUGAAAUUCGUAGAUAUUCGCAAGAACACCAGUGGCGAAGGCGGCUCACUGGCCCGGUACUGACGCUGAGGCACGAAAGCGUGGGGAGCAAACAGG